GGUGCCUAUAAUGCAGUCGAGCGAACAGAUAAGGAGCUUGCUCCUUUGACGUUAGCGGCGGACGGUUGAGUAACACGUGGAUAACCUACCUAUAAGACUGGGAUAACUUCGGGAAACCGGAGCUAAUACCGGAUAACAUAUUGAACCGCAUGGUUCAAUAGUGAAAGGCGGCUUUGCUGUCACUUAUAGAUGGAUCCGCGCCGUAUUAGCUAGUUGGUAAGGUAACGGCUUACCAAGGCAACGAUACGUAGCCGACCUGAGAGGGUGAUCGGCCACACUGGAACUGAGACACGGUCCAGACUCCUACGAGAGGCAGCAGUAGGGAAUCUUCCGCAAUGGGCGAAAGCCUGACGGAGCAACGCCGCGUGGAGUGAUGAAGGUCUUCGGAUCGUAAAACUCUGUUAUCAGGGAAGAACAAAUGUGUAAGUAACUGUGCACAUCUUGACGGUACCUGAUCAGAAAGCCACGGCUAACUACGUGCCAGCAGCCGCGGUAAUACGUAGGUGGCAAGCGUUAUCCGGAAUUAUUGGGCGUAAAGCGCGCGUAGGCGGUUUUUUAAGUCUGAUGUGAAAGCCCACGGCUCAACCGUGGAGGGUCAUUGGAAACUGGAAAACUUGAGUGCAGAAGAGGAAAGUGGAAUUCCAUGUGUAGCGGUGAAAUGCGCAGAGAUAUGGAGGAACACCAGUGGCGAAGGCGACUUUCUGGUCUGUAACUGACGCUGAUGUGCGAAAGCGUGGGGAUCAAACAGGAUUAGAUACCCUGGUAGUCCACGCCGUAAACGAUGAGUGCUAAGUGUUAGGGGGUUUCCGCCCCUUAGUGCUGCAGCUAACGCAUUAAGCACUCCGCCUGGGGAGUACGACCGCAAGGUUGAAACUCAAAGGAAUUGACGGGGACCCGCACAAGCGGUGGAGCAUGUGGUUUAAUUCGAAGCAACGCGAAGAACCUUACCAAAUCUUGACAUCCUUUGACCGCUCUAGAGAUAGAGUCUUCCCCUUCGGGGGACAAAGUGACAGGUGGUGCAUGGUUGUCGUCAGCUCGUGUCGUGAGAUGUUGGGUUAAGUCCCGCAACGAGCGCAACCCUUAAGCUUAGUUGCCAUCAUUAAGUUGGGCACUCUAAGUUGACUGCCGGUGACAAACCGGAGGAAGGUGGGGAUGACGUCAAAUCAUCAUGCCCCUUAUGAUUUGGGCUACACACGUGCUACAAUGGACAAUACAAAGGGCAGCUAAACCGCGAGGUCAAGCAAAUCCCAUAAAGUUGUUCUCAGUUCGGAUUGUAGUCUGCAACUCGACUACAUGAAGCUGGAAUCGCUAGUAAUCGUAGAUCAGCAUGCUACGGUGAAUACGUUCCCGGGUCUUGUACACACCGCCCGUCACACCACGAGAGUUUGUAACACCCGAAGCCGGUGGAGUAACCAUUUAUGGAGCUAGCCG
rnacentral:rRNA from 1 species